UACGUAGGGGGCAAGCGUUGUCCGGAAUCAUUGGGCGUAAAGAGCGUGUAGGCGGCCCGGUAAGUCCGCUGUGAAAGUCCAGGGCUCAACCCUGGGAUGCCGGUGGAUACUGUCGGGCUCGAGUCCGGAAGAGGAGUGUGGAAUUCCUGGUGUAGCGGUGAAAUGCGCAGAUAUCAGGAAGAACACCAAUGGCGAAAGCAGCUCUCUGGGACGGUACUGACGCUGAGACGCGAAAGCGUGGGGAGCGAACAGG
rnacentral:rRNA from 1 species